UACCUCUAUGGGAGUAUGCACUGGUUUGC
rnacentral:sRNA from 1 species